rnacentral:lncRNA from 1 species
UGAUCUGAAGCUGUAUCCUGAAAUGCUGAGACCAUUGGUGAGCUGUAGGAGGCCUUCAGCAAUCACCAGCUUUACUCCAAAAGGAAAAGGAUCAGAAGAGAGAUCCCACGAAGGUUCCUUAAUGCUGCUUGGAGGCUGAUCUCUGCUCUCAUCCCUCCCUCCCAGUGCCAAAGUCAGUGGGCAGUGCUGGGGGCCACCUACUCUCCCUUCUGGUGCUCCAACUGGAUCACUAGCACCAGGUUUUUGAGCAGCUGCACCACGAGCCCAGAGUGCUCAGGUUGGCUGGAGAUCCUGCACUGUAAGGCAAGCUGAAUCCCUCUCCCUGGUUUUGUGUUGGCUGUGGCCAUGUUAAGCAUCAACAG